rnacentral:rRNA from 1 species
GUAGGUGGCAAGCGUUGUCCGGAAUUAUUGGGCGUAAAGCGCGCGCAGGCGGUUCUUUAAGUCUGAUGUGAAAGCCCACGGCUCAACCGUGGAGGGUCAUUGGAAACUGGAGAACUUGAGUACAGAAGAGGAAAGCGGAAUUCCACAUGUAGCGGUGAAAUGCGUAGAGAUGUGGAGGAACACCAGUGGCGAAGGCGGCUUUCUGGUCUGUAACUGACGCUGAGGCGCGAAAGCGUGGGGAGCAAACAGGAUUAGAUACCCUGGUAGUCCACGCCGUAAACGAUGAGUGCUAAGUGUUAGGGGGGUUUUCCGCCCCCCUUAGUGCUGCAGCUAACGCAUUAAGCACUCCGCCUGGGAGUACGGCCGCAAGGCUG